UCCUAGCCCGGAUUGCAGCAUUUGUCUGAGCUCGUUUAUAGUUUUUGGAUUUGCGGCGGCUCCGCCGCCGCAAAUCCAAAAACUAUAACAGCGAGUGCGGAAAGCCGGAAAAAGC
rnacentral:misc_RNA from 1 species